rnacentral:rRNA from 1 species
CAAUAGCAUAUAUUAACGUUGUUGCAGUUGAAAAGCUCGUAGUUGAACUUUUGGUAGGAGCGACCUGGCCUUGGGCGCAUGCCCUUGUUUGCCGUGUGUCGUGUCUGGCCAUCCUUUUCCGUUUCGGCGGGAAUCCUUUACUGUGAGUAAACUGGAGUGCUCAAAACAAGACGUUUGUUUGGUACAUUAAAGCAUGGAAUAAUAAGAUAGGACCUGGUUACUAUUUUGUUGGUUUGCACAGCUAGGUAAUGAUUAACAGGGACAGUUGGGGGUAUUCGUAUUUAAUUGUCAGAGGUGAAAUUCUUGGAUUUAUGAAAGACGAACGACUGCGAAAGCAUUUACCAAGGAUGUUUNCAUUA